UACAGAGGUGGCAAGCGUUGUUCGGAAUUACUGGGCGUAAAGGGCGCGUAGGCGGCUUGGUCAGUCCCGUGUGAAAUCCCUCGGCUCAACUGAGGAACUGCACGGGAAACUGCCUGGCUUGAGUUCGGGAGAGGGAAGCGGAAUUCCGGGUGUAGCGGUGAAAUGCGUAGAUAUCCGGAGGAACACCGGUGGCGAAGGCGGCUCACUGGCCCGAUACUGACGCUGAGGCACGAAAGCGUGGGGAGCAAACAGG
rnacentral:rRNA from 1 species